GAUGAACGCUGGCGGCGUGCUUAACACAUGCAAGUCGAACGAAGUUGUACGAACAGAAGCCUUCGGGUGGAAGAUUGUAUAACUUAGUGGCGGACGGGUGAGUAACACGUGAGCAACCUGCCUUUCACAGUGGAAUAACAACAGGAAACUGUUGCUAAUACCGCAUAAUAUCUAGAUAAGGCAUCUUAUUUAGAUCAAAGAUUUAUCGGUGAAAGAUGGGCUCGCGUCCGAUUAGCUAGUUGGUGGGGUAAAGGCCUACCAAGGCGACGAUCGGUAGCCGGACUGAGAGGUUGAACGGCCACAUUGGGACUGAGACACGGCCCAGACUCCUACGGGAGGCAGCAGUGGGGAAUAUUGGGCAAUGGGCGCAAGCCUGACCCAGCAACGCCGCGUGAAGGAUGAAGGUCUUCGGAUUGUAAACUUCUUUGGUCAGGGACGAAACAAAUGACGGUACCUGAAGAACAAGCCACGGCUAACUACGUGCCAGCAGCCGCGGUAAUACGUAGGUGGCGAGCGUUAUCCGGAUUUACUGGGUGUAAAGGGCGUGUAGGCGGUUUUUUAAGAUGGAUGUGAAAUCCCCAGGCUCAACCUGGGAGGGUCAUCCAUAACUGGAGAACUUGAGUGUCGGAGAGGAAAGCGGAAUUCCUAGUGUAGCGGUAAAAUGCGUAGAUAUUAGGAGGAACACCAGUGGCGAAGGCGGCUUUCUGGACGAUAACUGACGCUAAGGCGCGAAAGCGUGGGGAGCAAACAGG
rnacentral:rRNA from 1 species